UGAACAGUGUUGAGGUUGAGGGCUGA
rnacentral:piRNA from 1 species